GGGGAUUUGGCUCAGUGGUAGAGUGCUUGCCUAGCGAGCGCAAGGCCCUGGGUUCGGUUCCCAGCUCCG
rnacentral:tRNA from 1 species